GGCGUGGUUAAGACAUGCAAGUCGAACGAUGAAGCCCAGCUUGCUGGGCGGAUUAGUGGCAUACGGGUGCGUAACACGUGAGCAACCUGCCUUGAAGUGGGGAAUANGCCCGGGUGAAACCCGUGAUUAAUACCGCAUGUGGUCUCUUUUCGCAUGAAAAGACGACUAAAGUUUGUAAUGACUCUUCAAGAGGGGCUCGCGGCCUAUCAGCUUGUUGGUGAGGUAAAGGCUCACCAAGGCAAAGACGGGUAGCUGGUCUGAGAGGAUGAUCAGCCACACUGGAACUGAGAUACGGUCCAGACACCUACGGGUGGCAGCAGCUUCGAAUCAUUCACAAUGGGGGAAACCCUGAUGGUGCAACGCCGCGUGGAGGAUGACGGCCUUCGGGUUGUAAACUCCUGUCACCAAGGAACAAACGGCAGGUUCAUAGCCUGUCCUGAGUUAACUUGGAGAGGAAGAGGUGGCUAACUCCGUGCCAGCAGCCGCGGUAAUACGGAGACCUCGAGCGUUACUCGGAUUCACUGGGCGUAAAGAGUAUGUAGGCUGUUUGGUAUGUCAGGUGUGAAAGCCCGAAGCUCAACUUCGGAAUUGCGCCUGAAACUACCGGACUUGAGGCCUGGAGAGGGGAGUGGAAUUCCUGGUGUAGCGGUGAAAUGCGUAGAUAUCAGGAGGAACACCAAUGGCGAAGGCAGCUCCCUGGACAGGUUCUGACGCUGAGAUACGAAAGCGUGGGUAGCGAAAGGGAUUAGAUACCCCUGUAGUCCACGCCGUAAACGUUGAAUGCUAGGUGUGGGAUCGAAUGGUUCCGUGCCGGAGCGAACGCGAUAAGCAUUCCGCCUGGGGAGUACGGCCGCAAGGUUAAAACUCAAACGAAUUGACGGGGCCCCGCACAAGCAGCGGAGCGUGUGGUUUAAUUCGAUGCUACACGAAGAACCUUACCUGGGUUUGACAUGUAGGUGGUAGUGAAUCGAAAGGUGAACGACCCUUCGGGGAGCCUACACAGGUGCUGCAUGGCUGUCGUCAGCUCGUGCCGUGAGGUGUCGGGUUAAGUCCCGUAACGAGCGCAACCCUUGCUCCUAGUUACAAG
rnacentral:rRNA from 1 species